AGAGUUUGAUCCUGGCUCAGAUUGAACGCUGGCGGCAUGCCUUACACAUGCAAGUCGAACGGCAGCACGGAGCUUGCUCUGGUGGCGAGUGGCGAACGGGUGAGUAAUAUAUCGGAACGUACCCUAGAGUGGGGGAUAACGUAGCGAAAGUUACGCUAAUACCGCAUACGAUCUAAGGAUGAAAGUGGGGGAUCGCAAGACCUCAUGCUCGUGGAGCGGCCGAUAUCUGAUUAGCUAGUUGGUAGGGUAAAAGCCUACCAAGGCAUCGAUCAGUAGCUGGUCUGAGAGGACGACCAGCCACACUGGAACUGAGACACGGUCCAGACUCCUACGGGAGGCAGCAGUGGGGAAUUUUGGACAAUGGGCGAAAGCCUGAUCCAGCAAUGCCGCGUGAGUGAAGAAGGCCUUCGGGUUGUAAAGCUCUUUUGUCAGGGAAGAAACGGUGAGAGCUAAUAUCUUUUGCUAAUGACGGUACCUGAAGAAUAAGCACCGGCUAACUACGUGCCAGCAGCCGCGGUAAUACGUAGGGUGCAAGCGUUAAUCGGAAUUACUGGGCGUAAAGCGUGCGCAGGCGGUUUUGUAAGUCUGAUGUGAAAUCCCCGGGCUCAACCUGGGAAUUGCAUUGGAGACUGCAAGGCUAGAAUCUGGCAGAGGGGGGUAGAAUUCCACGUGUAGCAGUGAAAUGCGUAGAUAUGUGGAGGAACACCGAUGGCGAAGGCAGCCCCCUGGGUCAAGAUUGACGCUCAUGCACGAAAGCGUGGGGAGCAAACAGGAUUAGAUACCCUGGUAGUCCACGCCCUAAACGAUGUCUACUAGUUGUCGGGUCUUAAUUGACUUGGUAACGCAGCUAACGCGUGAAGUAGACCGCCUGGGGAGUACGGUCGCAAGAUUAAAACUCAAAGGAAUUGACGGGGACCCGCACAAGCGGUGGAUGAUGUGGAUUAAUUCGAUGCAACGCG
rnacentral:rRNA from 1 species